GUCUCCAUGGCGCAACUGGUUAGCGCGUCUGACUGUUAUUUGGCCGGUUGCAAUCAGGAGGUUGGCAGUUCAAUCCUGCCUGGGGACG
rnacentral:tRNA from 1 species